AUUGAACGCUGGCGGCAGGCCUGACACAUGCAAGUCGAGCGGAUGAGUGGAGCUUGCUCCAUGAUUCAGCGGCGGACGGGUGAGUAAUGCCUAGGAAUCUGCCUGGUAGUGGGGGACAACGUUUCGGAAGGAACGCUAAUACCGCAUACGUCCUACGGGAGAAAGUGGGGGAUCUUCGGACCUCACGCUAUCAGAUGAGCCUAGGUCGGAUUAGCUAGUUGGUGAGGUAAAGGCUCACCAAGGCGACGAUCCGUAACUGGUCUGAGAGGAUGAUCAGUCACACUGGAACUGAGACACGGUCCAGACUCCUACGGGAGGCAGCAGUGGGGAAUAUUGGACAAUGGGCGAAAGCCUGAUCCAGCCAUGCCGCGUGUGUGAAGAAGGUCUUCGGAUUGUAAAGCACUUUAAGUUGGGAGGAAGGGCAGUAAGUUAAUACCUUGCUGUUUUGACGUUACCAACAGAAUAAGCACCGGCUAACUUCGUGCCAGCCGCCGCGGUAACAC
rnacentral:rRNA from 1 species